rnacentral:rRNA from 1 species
AUACGGAGGGUCCAAGCGUUAUCCGGAAUCAUUGGGUUUAAAGGGUUCGUAGGCGGGUCAAUAAGUCAGAGGUGAAAUCUUGCAGCUUAACUGUAAAAUUGCCUUUGAAACUGUUGACCUUGAAUUACUGUGAAGUGGUUAGAAUAUGUAGUGUAGCGGUGAAAUGCUUAGAGAUUACAUAGAAUACCGAUUGCGAAGGCAGAUCACUAACAGUAUAUUGACGCUGAUGAACGAAAGCGAGGGUAGCGAACGGGAUUAGAUACCCCAGUAGUCC